rnacentral:rRNA from 1 species
GAUGGCGACCGGCGCACGGGUGAGUAACACGUAUCCAACCUGCCGAUAACUCGGGGAUAGCCUUUCGAAAGAAAGAUUAAUACCCGAUGGCAUAAUAGAACCGCAUGGUUUGAUUAUUAAAGAAUUUCGGUUAUCGAUGGGGAUGCGUUCCAUUAGGCAGUUGGUGGGGUAACGGCCCACCAAACCUUCGAUGGAUAGGGGUUCUGAGAGGAAGGUCCCCCCACAUUGGAACUGAGACACGGUCCAAACUCCUACGGGAGGCAGCAUG